GCGGGCGUAGCUCAGCGGUAGAGCGCCUGCUUGCCAAGCAGGAGGUCGCGGGUUCGAAACCCGUCGCCCGCUCCA
rnacentral:tRNA from 1 species